rnacentral:rRNA from 1 species
CAGCCGCCGCGGUAAUACGUAGGUGGCAAGCGUUGUCCGGAAUUAUUGGGCGUAAAGGGCUCGCAGGCGGUUUCUUAAGUCUGAUGUGAAAGCCCCCGGCUCAACCGGGGAGGGUCAUUGGAAACUGGGAAACUUGAGUGCAGAAGAGGAGAGUGGAACUCCACGUGUAGCGGUGAAAUGCGUAGAGAUGUGGAGGAACACCAGUGGCGAAGGCGACUCCCUGGUCUGUAACUGACGCUGAGGAGCGAAAGCGUGGGGAGCGAACAGGAUUAGAUACCCGUGUAGUCCCUGUCUCUUAUAA